UACAUCGAAGCCAUCGACGUCGUGGCGAACUUUUUGGUCAUCGUCCUGGAACGAUAUUUCAUUGGCUGGGAGGUGCACCUGCGGCAGGUGCGGUUCCGAUGGAAAUAAGAAAUUCACGAAGCCGUCUCGCAGAUUUGACUAGCGAGAAAGAAUGACCGGUAUCAUUGAACCCGGUGGUGUCUCGCAUCCGGGGAGGAUUAAAAUUGUAAAAUUCUUUACACGCCAGCGCGCGACCACGCACACAUCUUCCUCAAUUCGCCCUUCAAUUUUUCAUCGCGGAACCAUUUACAUAAUUAACAACGCUCGUGUCUAUGCUAUCGUAUCGACCGGUGCUCUUCAUCUGACCGCGAAAAUUACGGCCAAUCACUAUCGAGCCUUCGAAAAUGAGCACGGUAAGCUGUCUUCUCUUCGUUCUAGCCCGACAUGAAGUUACGACAUUUUUAUGGAGUUCUUGUCUCGUUAGAUGAGUUCUGACAUAUUGCUGAAUAUCGGGAAAAAAAGACUACAGCAUCUCCAGUGCAUGCAAUGCCAGGAAUAAAUAUUACCCGGUCAGGCAUGUAAACGCGUCACUCGCCUGACCUAGU